rnacentral:lncRNA from 1 species
GCCGCAUCACAAAAGGAUACUCGGGGUUUGCUAAUUUACGGAAAAAGUAAUCUCACUUCGUACCCCGAAAAUUUAACCACAUAUGUCAAAAUGUCUCAGCUUCGAAACGAGCCAUCACACAUAUCCAAGUUAACGAUAUGGACUGAGCAACAGAAGAAAACGUUACCAUUACGGCCUAUGGAAAAACUAAUGCGCAUCUGUACCCAAUUUAGAAGCUCAAUUCCAGAAGUUGUCGGACUGAUUUAUGGAUGAUUUCACCUGUACACCACCGAAAAUGAUGGUUAGUAUUUUUUUAUUUAUACCUAGUUAUCAUAAAUGGUUUAAGAUAAAUAUUAUUGAUAAAGAUCAGCAAAAACUCAAGGAAAUUUUCGCUUUUAAAAUACAUUACUGGCACGGGGCUGAACACUUUUUUUAGGCACAAUCAUAACUUUGUUUACUUCCGAGAGAUCCGAAAGGAAUUUGUUUGCUACAUUGAAAAGGCAAGAAAUAACUUUUAAAUAUUAUUAAAUUGUAAGUAAACAUGACACAAUAUAGUCUUUGUUAUGUAAUUAUCACUCUGGUCUACAGGAAUACCUGAUAAUCAAGGGAGAUAACACACUUCAUACGAGUAAAGUGAGAUACAUCAUCGCAUGUGCUUUUAACCAAUGAUUUGACCCCUGGUCAGUAGAUAUCAUAUGCAUAAAAAACAGAAAAAACAUUUACAUGCUUUAAGAAAAUCAUGAAUUAUUAUUUUUAAUGCACAUGAGCAAAACAAAAGAUAUUGUCAUUUCUCAGCACUGAAAAAGGGGGAGGGUCAAACUUUUUUGAAAACAAUAUUUCUGCACCUAUUCAAUUAUUAAGCUAGUUAGCUACUACCCAUUGCUUCUAAUACAAAAGGUUUAAAUGAAGGUGGCUAAGCCACAAGGGAGAAGCAUUUGUCUUUCUUUGUGAUUAAACUUUCAAGAAUAAGAUUUUUCUCUCUCAAUAAUACUUAUGUAUUUAAAUCAAAUGAUAACAAAGCCUGAGUAUUUUUUUUUUGUCUUAUUUCAGUUCCAGACGUAUCAUUAUUUUCAACCUGAGAUGGCAAACUAGAGGUUUUAAAAAGUCCUGAAUAACUGGUAAGCAUUUUGUUUUAUUAGGCAAGCUCUAAAUUGUUUUUUAUGAUAUUUAUGCAAUUGAAAUUACAGUCGGUAUGUUAAAAAUAUGCUAAUAUGAAAACUGUUGCUAUGGUCUUGGUAUUAAAUGAAAAGGCUUAGUUACAGAUCGUUACGACUCAAUAUUUCGAGUUAAAUCUUGCGGCAACUGUUUCUCAUGUAACACUGCAAACUAUAUUUAGCACUACUUUGAUCUGUCGUUAUUUAAUGACGCCAUUAACAUGUGAUGUCACAAUGUUUCCGUUAAGACCUCUUGUGGAUUUCUCACUGAUAAAAGGUUUUCACUGAAAUACAUGUAAAAAACAUUUUUUUCUCAAAUAGAAUUAUGUGAAAGGACAAGUUUUGAAAAUUUGCACUAUAUUGUACUCUAAUUAUAUGAUAUGGAUGACUUUCCCAAGUAGUUUAGAGUGGUUUUAACAGUAUUAAAUACCAGAUUUCCACUAGUAAGAAUAAUUAUUUUGGUGUUGGUUUUUUUUAUACAACCUUCAUUUUUGCAUAAUUUCUCUGUCAAAAUGCACUUUAAGGCACAAGAAAAUUUUGUAGAAUGCUUUAACAGGGUCUGUGUAUUGUAAUAAGAGGUUAUAAUCAGAAGUUUUGUCCUUGUUUUGACUAGUGAAGGUAUUCUGGAAGAAAUUACUUAUACAUACUCAUUGUAUUCAAAAUAAAUGAAUAUAGCGACGAAAGUGUCAUUGCCUUAUAGUGCUAAAACAACUUUAUUUUUUUUCAGAAAUGGACAAAAAUACACAGAUUUAUUCAGAAUGUUAUACCGAUGAAGAUCACAUAAAAAUAUUUGGAAAAAUCAGAAGUAUGGAUUUCAAUAUGGGACAAGAUCCCUAAUGCGCCUUGAAAUGAGGAACUCAAAAGUCACGUGUAAACAAAAAUUCUCUGUGUAGUGAUAUUUGACACUUUUCUAUGAUAAACAAGUGACUGAGCUUAACCAUUUGAGUUAAUUUAGAAAGUAGGGGAACACAGAAUAAAUGUGUAAAAUCUAUGGAGCUAUUAAAUGUGUUCAAAGUAUUAAAUUUUCAAAGAACUUUUUGUGUUAAAAAUGGGAUUAUUUACCAUGAGGAGCCGCAUCACAAAAGGAUACUCGGGGUUUGCUAAUUUACGGAAAAAGUAAUCUCACUUCGUACCCCGAAAAUUUAACCACAUAUGUCAAAAUGUCUCAGCUUCGAAACGAGCCAUCACACAUAUCCAAGUUAACGAUAUGGACUGAGCAACAGAAGAAAACGUUACCAUUACGGCCUAUGGAAAAACUAAUGCGCAUCUGUACCCAGUUA